GUGAUGGAACCACAAGUGGACCUAUAACUAGACUUGUUUCUGGUAAUGUAAUUGGAGUUGAAUAUGAGCAUUGACUCGGGUAUCUAAUACUAAUAAGUCGCCAGCUUGUUUGAGGGCUGGAAGUCUUGAAGUUGAAGACAUACCUGUACCCAGAAUCAUGUUAGACUGCAGGUCUGCGAUAACCCUUUGAAGAUGCUGCUGAAGUUGGGAUAGACUAUCAAUGAUCUCAGUCCAACCAAUGUCAUGACACAAGCAUUCAACCAAUCG
rnacentral:misc_RNA from 1 species